rnacentral:rRNA from 1 species
UGCAAGUCGAGCGGACAGAAGGGAGCUUGCUCCCGGAUGUUAGCGGCGGACGGGUGAGUAACACGUGGGUAACCUGCCUGUAAGACUGGGAUAACUCCGGGAAACCGGAGCUAAUACCGGAUAGUUCCUUGAACCGCAUGGUUCAAGGAUGAAAGACGGUUUCGGCUGUCACUUACAGAUGGACCCGCGGCGCAUUAGCUAGUUGGUGGGGUAAUGGCUCACCAAGGCGACGAUGCGUAGCCGACCUGAGAGGGUGAUCGGCCACACUGGGACUGAGACACGGCCCAGACUCCUACGGGAGGCAGCAGUAGGGAAUCUUCCGCAAUGGACGAAAGUCUGACGGAGCAACGCCGCGUGAGUGAUGAAGGUUUUCGGAUCGUAAAGCUCUGUUGUUAGGGAAGAACAAGUGCGAGAGUAACUGCUCGCACCUUGACGGUACCUAACCAGAAAGCCACGGCUAACUACGUGCCAGCAGCCGCGGUAAUACGUAGGUGGCAAGCGUUGUCCGGAAUUAUUGGGCGUAAAGGGCUCGCAGGCGGUUUCUUAAGUCUGAUGUGAAAGCCCCCGGCUCAACCGGGGAGGGUCAUUGGAAACUGGGAAACUUGAGUGCAGAAGAGGAGAGUGGAAUUCCACGUGUAGCGGUGAAAUGCGUAGAGAUGUGGAGGAACACCAGUGGCGAAGGCGACUCUCUGGUCUGUAACUGACGCUGAGGAGCGAAAGCGUGGGGAGCGAACAGGAUUAGAUACCCUGGUAGUCCACGCCGUAAACGAUGAGUGCUAAGUGUUAGGGGGUUUCCGCCCCUUAGUGCUGCAGCUAACGCAUUAAGCACUCCGCCUGGGGAGUACGGUCGCAAGACUGAAACUCAAAGGAAUUGACGGGGGCCCGCACAAGCGGUGGAGCAUGUGGUUUAAUUCGAAGCAACGCGAAGAACCUUACCAGGUCUUGACAUCCUCUGACAACCCUAGAGAUAGGGCUUUCCCUUCGGGGACAGAGUGACAGGUGGUGCAUGGUUGUCGUCAGCUCGUGUCGUGAGAUGUUGGGUUAAGUCCCGCAACGAGCGCAACCCUUGAUCUUAGUUGCCAGCAUUUAGUUGGGCACUCUAAGGUGACUGCCGGUGACAAACCGGAGGAAGG